UUGAAAAAGGUUGAAGAUUCACUCUAGUUUCCUCCUUGGUCAAGCCAACAUCCUCGACGACGAUUCUUCUGUCGAAAAAAGCAGCAUGCAGUGGCGCAUUUUGUUGAUUUGCUCUUUGACGAUCGCUUUUUGUUUCCUGGUUGAGCCCGGCGAAUCGAACCGGCAGCCGAUUUUCGUGAAACACCAGCAAACGACUACGCCGCGUUACAACAGGAAGCAAGUGGCGGUAGCUCCAAGUCGGCAGUGUCCCACUGGACACUUGCUAGACAAGAACAACGUCUGCAGAAUGAUAUGGCUUGGGUGAACAAUAGUCUCCCCAUCAAUCAGCAGUCUGCAAGUUAGAUUUGACUCUUGAAAAGCACGUUCUCAUCCAUAUUUAAUGAACGAGAUACACGGCCUGGUGAAUUCGCGGAUCAUGUAAAAAUAUGGAAGAAGGGAAAUGUAUGCGGAAAACAUAACGUUAUAAUACGAAAAAAUGUCGAUCCUUGUCGGUUCUAUUUUUUGCUUCCCUUUUCAAGAGUUGAAAAUACACGGUAAUACUAAUAAUACA